UUUGCGCAUGGGCGAAAGCCUGNCGCAGCGACGCCGCGUGGAGGAUGAAGGUCUUCGGAUUGUAAACUCCUUUUGUCGGGGAAGAUAAUGACGGUACCCGAUGAAUAAGCCACGGCUAACUCUGUGCCAGCAGCCGCGGUAAGACAGAGGUGGCAAGCGUUGUUCGGAAUUACNUGGGCUUAAAGGGCGCGUAGGCGGUGGAGUAAGUCUGAGGUGGAAGAUUAGGGCCUAACCCUAAAAUUGCCUUGGAAACUGCAUCACUUGAGUCAGCGAGGGGAUGGCGGAAUUCCAGGUGUAGCGGUGAAAUGCGUAGAUAUCUGGAGGAAGGCCGGUGGCGAAGGCGGCCAUCUGGCGCUGAACUGACGCUGAGGCGCGAAAGCGUGGGGAGCAAACAGGAUUAGAUACCCUGGUAGUCCACGCCCUAAACGGUGGGUACUAGGUGUAGGGCUCGCAAGGGUUCUGUGCCGUAGGGAAACCAUUAAGUACCCCGCCUGGGGAGUACGGCCGCAAGGUUGAAACUCAAAGAAAUUGACGGA
rnacentral:rRNA from 1 species